rnacentral:rRNA from 1 species
AGAUUGAACGCUGGCGGCAUGCCUUACACAUGCAAGUCGAACGGCAGCACGGGGGCAACCCUGGUGGCGAGUGGCGAACGGGUGAGUAAUGCAUCGGAACGUGCCCAGUAGUGGGGGAUAACUAGUCGAAAGAUUAGCUAAUACCGCAUACGACCUAAGGGUGAAAGCGGGGGAUUCGCAAGAACCUCGCGCUAUCGGAGCGGCCGAUGUCUGAUUAGCUAGUUGGCGGGGUAAAAAGCCCACCAAGGCUUCGAUCAGUAGCUGGUCUGAGAGGACGACCAGCCACACUGGGACUGAGACACGGCCCAGACUCCUACGGGAGGCAGCAGUGGGGAAUUUUUGGACAAUGGGCGCAAAGCCUGAUCCAGCCAUGCCGCGUGCGGGAAGAAGGCCUGGUAAGUACGACUUGUCAGAACGAAACGACGCGAGACGAAUAUACUCGCGUUAAUAGACGGUACCGUAGCAGAAUAAAGACACCGACUAACUACGUA